rnacentral:rRNA from 1 species
AUGGUUAGCAAGUCAUUAUUGCCGCCUCCGCUUCCCAAGUUGCCUCGGCUUGCUGUUGGUGUGUGCUGCUUCUGUAGCCCCUGCCGGCCGCCUCUUAGGUUCGGUUUUUCUGCCACUACUGAAGUUUCCAUUGCCUCGGCAAGGCGUCGUCGUCUUACUUGCAAGGCACACAUUGCACCACGGGCAACAUCUUGCUAUGCAUGGCCACUCAUGUCAAAGCUGGGUUCCAGUUUGACGACCUCUCUACCAAGUCUCCAUGUUCUUCUUUCCUGUACUUUCUCCAUCUGCUGUUAUACUCUCUUGCAAGUACGGCUUAACCAGUUUGAUGUCAUGUUGCUUUAG